AAAAGUAGUUUUUGCUCACUUUAUGGGAGGACUUUGCUGACAUUGAAGGAACCGAGCUUUCGGGAAAAAUUGAAAAAAAUGAAGGAUAUCCUGUAAUUCUGGGAAGAAGUAACUUUUCGCCUUUAUACAUAUAUUUUAUAAAAAAUACCACCAACACUAUCCUGUUUCUUGACUGCUUCUCCAGAAUUGCUGGAGAAAUUUAAUUUGUGUCACAAAAAUACAAUUUCUUUCAGAAAUUUCUUACCAUAACAAAGACGAAGACUUGAUAGAAUCAUGACUAAAGUGCCGCGGGAAAGUCUACCAACACUGCAUCAUAAAAUAGUACCAAACGUAACUUGAAGUGUACACCCAUCUCUGUAACACCACUGAAGCUAACUCUCAGAGGGCUUUUGCUGAUUUCUGCAGCCCUUUUCUGUCGUUUUUCCCGGCAGAUGAUAUCAUAAAGCAAGGGGUAAGCUAAUUCCAAGAGAUCACGAGCACAACUAUUGUGUAAAAUAAAUUUCACAUGCAUGUGCCAUUCUUGUGGCAGGUAACUUGGAAGAGAUGACAUGUAGUAGUUAGUUACUGUUGUAUGAUUAAGAAGGAUAGAUCAGGAAAAGACACAAAUCACACCUACUUUAACCAGCUUGUGGAGUUUUAUUUACUCGUCCUUCAACAUAGAAUAUGGUAGUUGAUAAGAUUUAAUAAAAACUUUACAGAUCCAAUUAAUGAUACUUAUACAAAGUCUUAUGUGUUUGAGAGAGAAAAGAAGAAGAGAAAAAGAAGAGGAGGAAGAAAGGAGCGCAUAGGUCAGGAGGAAGAAGAGGAGG